CGGGUACUGCUCGGUUCGACCGCUCCAUCUAUCCCUGGGGCCAAUAUCGAUCCUCUUGGGAGCUGUCCCUGACCGGAGCCGUGGUUCCGGACACACGGUGCCCACCUGCAUCAGCAGGCCACAGAGGGUACGAAUGGACGGACGGCCGUGGCGGGCCCGU
rnacentral:other from 1 species